CUGUUACGAUGGAUACGGCCGAUGCUCCGGCAGUAAGCGUGACAUUAUAAAAUGUUUUGGGUGUACACCAAAUAUCCUUGCUGUGACCUUUAAGUAAUCAAACAUUCAUUCAAUUGCUCUUUUUUUAUUGCAUGAAAAUAGAAAACAAGCUCCAACUAAAGUAAAAAGCAGCAGAACUGACAAAUCCUCUAAAAAUGAUACAGACUGGGACUGUUUAAUAGUGGGUGAGCUUAGUUUUAUUAGUCAAUUCCUACGGGUGAACUCGUCUACUCCCGUCAGCAAAAGGUUUGCAAUAUUUCAAUGUUUUAUAGACAUUUUGCCUCCUACAUCUUUAAGCGACUUUUUGUGACAGAGUCACAAAGUAAAAAGUUUUUGGUAUUGAGCUUUGAUUCAGAGCAGAUUAAAGCAGAGAUAAAUAAAAGCAAUCACAUGUGCACUAUUUGCAGUAGGAGGGUCAGCAAAGGUUCACGUAUGAAGUACUUUGCGUCCAUCAUUGUUUUCAGUCCUAAUCCAAAAGAUGGAGACGCGCAUUAAAUGAAAUCAAAAGGUUGCCGCGCGCGUAACUGGAUGAUACAAUAGAGCUCGUAAUCUUCUUAACCGGAUUACCGGAGCGAUGUGAUCCCAUGUGACGACGAGCAGAAGUCACUGGAAAGGAAGCGAGCAGGUUACCUCCUCUGUUUACCACCAAGAUAAACCCUAAAAAUAUACCUCACCUAAUCUCCUUAAGGGGCGUGCGAUAGGAGUUAGUCCUCUCUCAGCCGGCUCCCGGUCGGCCAGUCGGUCUCAGAGGUCGACCCGACCCCUCGCCGCUGCGUUCAGACGAGAAAGGGCUUCGCGCCGACACCUCCAUCCGGGUCCGCUUUAUGGUUUCUCAGUUGGCGUCCGUCUGCAGCCUGAACACGCGCGGCCCGAAGCCUUCCAGCGCUCCGGGCAUGUCGGGCCUGCUCAACCUCAGCAGCCUGGGGAGGAUCUGCGGCUCCGGCAACAGCAACGAAAUGGUGGUUUUGGACCGGGUCAAGAGGAAGAACUCGGUCAGGCGCAUGUCCAUCAUCGAGGACGGGGAAAUCGCAGAGAUUCUCUACCUCAUCCCUAAACAGUCCAUGAUGGAGCAGCUGCCCUUCAUCAACCCCGACGACUACGUCCUGUGUGAGAAGUUGGACGGGAUACCUCCGGAGAUGUCCGGGCUCCAUGACCUGGACGGCUCCCAGCCGUGUUCCCCCGGGGGGAAGCGUGUCAUCCGGUGCUUUAGAUGUGGGGAGCCGUGCAAGGGUCAGGCGCUGCGUGUGCAGAACAGCCACUUCCACGUAAAGUGCUUCACCUGCAAAGAGUGCGGCUGCGACCUGGCUCACAGUGGCUUCUUCAUGAGGACCGGGGACUACCUCUGCCCGCUGGACUUCCAGAGGCUCCACGGCACGCUCUGCAGCAGCUGCGGGGACUUUGUGGAGGGCGCGGUGGUCACGGUCCUGGGGAAGACCUACCACCCGGCCUGCUUCGUGUGCUCCGUCUGCAAAGAGCCUUUUCCUGCCGGGGAUUGUGUGACCUUCAGCGGAAAGGACUGCCUCUGCCAGCGCUGCGUCCGACCCCCGUCUCCCACCCCCCACGACGUCAGCUGGUCCGGCAACUGCUCGGGCUGCGGGAGAGACAUCAAGAACGGCCAGGCUCUGGUGGCGCUCGGAGGCCAGUGGCACCUCGGCUGCUUCAAGUGUAAAGCCUGCAGGAGAAUGCUGAGCGGAGAGUACAUCAGCAAGGAUGGCUUUCCAUACUGCGAGAGGGACUACCAGAUCCAAUUUGGGGUUCAGUGUGAAGCAUGUCAGAAGUUUAUAACUGGGAAAGUCCUCGAGGCGGGGGAGAGAAACUAUCACCCCAGCUGUGCCAGAUGCAGCCGAUGUGACAAAAUGUUCACGGAGGGCGAAGACAUGUACGUGCAAGGGUCGACGGUUUGGCACCCGGACUGCAGAGACGGCAGCAGAGCGGAGGACGGCUUCGUGGUCAACAGGCCAAAAACAGCAGGUCUCGAUUUCUUUUUCCCGCAUCAUAAACUCAAGCCCACGACAUCCUCGUCUGAAAGCUCCUUCUCCAGGCCCGGCUCGUGCACUCCGGGGAGUCCUGGUCGGACCAUCUGUGCAAAAGUAGAUAAUGAGAUCUUUGAUUACCGAGAAUUAGCAGCCAUUCCCAGAGUCAAGGCUAUAUUCGAUAUAGAGCAUCCCGAUAUGAUGUCCUAUGAGUCUGUGGACUCCUCCUCUACUUUGGACAAGAAAGGCGUCAGACCGGAGCGGCGGGGCCCUGCACAGUCACCAGGAAAUGCGUCUGAAACCACCGAGGAGGGUUUUGAAGUCAAACAUUUCACGCCAACACCCAGAAGACCUGCGUCCUCUGGGGAUCGCGGGACACGCAAUCGCCACAACUACACGCCAAAUCUGUCCAGAUCCCCUCAACACUUCCACCGGCCCGGAGUGACGCGUUCUUCCUCUUUAUUAUCUGGCAACAAAGACACACGCAUCACUUCCCCUUUAUGUCACCACUCCCCCCCCCAUAACAAAGACGAAGGCUUCAACAUGUACAGGAGGCCUCCGAUUUAUAAACAGCAAGAUACACAUUUCACCGCAUCCCAAACGGCCUCGCUGCCCGGAUACGGUCGCAACGACCUCAAUCCGCCACCGUCAGCUGACCUCCCCCCCGGCGACGGAUCCAGAGAGUUUAAGGUAUGUGGGGAGAGCUUUGAGUGGUCUUGAAUCCUCCGAUCCUACUUCCUUUCCUCGUUUGGUUAAGUGCGCUUCCAAAGGACCGACCUCAUCUCACUCCCUGCAUGAGCCUGUUUUAUGAACUCUUCCGCGAUGGUCAGCAUGCAUUAGCACGAACGGACAGAGGAGUGUCGAUGCCUAAUUUGUUGGAACCAAAACUCUACCCAUAUGAGCUCUUAGCUGUAAGUAGUAGAGGACGAGUGAAACUCCCCAGCGACGUUGACCGGACAAGACUUGAGCGCCACCUUUCCCCGGGGUCGUUCUUUCAGAUCUUCGGCAUGGGCCUUCAACAAUUUGACCUGCUUCCGCUGUGGAAACGUAACAAUAUGAAGAAGAGGGCAAAUCUUUUCUAAAUGCCACCUAAUGCAUUUCUUCAUUACUAAUAUGCGGUACAUGUCAUUUUUUGCCCCUUGAGUUUUUUCUUUGCAUUUGACACAAAAGUUUUAUAUUUUCUUGCUUAUAAACUGGACGGAUUUAGUUUAGUUUAUGAAGACUUGUAAUAAUGUUUGAAAUGUAUAAUACGUCGGCAGAUAUGAACACGAGAACUCAACUUGCUACAUUAUUGAAAUGUCCAAAAUAACUAGAGAGGGAGGGAUACAGAACAUGUGGUUAAUGUCUCAACGUGUACGAAGAAGUAUUUCCCUGCUCGCCUCCUGGAAAUUAGGAAAUGAUUGACUGCAGAACACAGCGUUUGAGCGAGGUCACUGUGUUUAAAGUCACUCAUUCAUGUCGGAAACGGCUGGACAGCGGUUUCAAAUGAUUCUGUCCCAAGUGAAAACCUUUGGAGAUCAGGAUUAUUAAGCUUUAUGAAGCUUAUUGAGCACAAUGCGUCAUGAUACCCGACGUGUUUCAGUACAUCAAAUGUUAAUAUCUUGUCAUCAAUGUAAUUCUGAGACAUAAUAUGAAACAACUCAGUGUUGUCACUGUUACUUCACUGUUACUUACAUGUUACAUUAUUUUAUUUUUUUUAUUUAGGGGAUUCACACUUUAUUGAACAUAAAAAUGAAAAGAACAUUAUUGAGAAUGUUUAUUCCACCAAAUCAAUGAAACGUGCUAAAGAGGGUUAUUAAAGGAAUAAUUAGAAGGAUUUUACUUUUUUUUUUCCUGAUUUAAGUCAUCAAUCAAUGUAUAAGUCACCUUGACACUGCUCCCCCAUCACACCAAAUAAAAUCUCCCUCCUACAAUUUAAAAAA